ensembl:lncRNA
AUCUCUUGCUGGAGAUCUCUGUCCACUUGAGGUCUUUUGAAGGUUGGAAGCCCAGAACAGAGCACAUCUCCCCAUCGUCAUGGAAUGGUGGAAGUACAGAAGCUGCUAGCCUAGAAUGAACAAAAGGAAAUGGGGAUGCAGCAAAACCUUCAGUGGGUGCUUUUUCCUCUUCUGGAACCUGCUGAGGGCCCUGUGACAGCCAGCUGUCUUGGCUAUGUCCUUGUGGAGAGGAAGGGCUGGAGGAGAAUCAGCAUGUGCUAGGGAAGAGCUUUGUGAGAGGGGUAUUCUAGGAAAGAAGGUGGGAAAACGGGAGCUGAAAUUCAGCUCAGAGCAGAAUUAAUCCUUCUUUGCUCCACCUCGCUGGCUGUGGAUUCAUCUCCCCAGCAAGCUGUUGAUAGCUUUCAGGUUCUUCUUGCCUAAGGAAAGCAAGUAUAUAGUCUGGAUCUGUGGGUGUUUCCUUCUGACACCUCUUUAACCUCUUGUUCUCAUUUUCUACCCUCAUGCCUGCAAAGGGGUUUUGCCCUCUGUUCCUGCCUGCUCCUUCUGGCCCUGUCUGCUCUAGGCACACCUCAGAGUAAGGGCAGCCAUAACCUGGGCGAAGCCUGGACUAGGGGAAAAGCUGUAUUGGUUUGAUGUUUCUGGCAAAGAUAAAUGAGCUAAAAUUAUGUUAUAACUUCAUAGGAACGUCUUAAUUGAGAUGAGCAGUGAUUUGCUGUUAAACCCAGUCUCGAUUCUGUCUGGAGAUAGGAAGCUGCUCUUACUGGGAGAAGCCUGCAAUGUUGUACCAAUUUAUCUAAGGUGCUGGAGCUGCUGUAAGUCAAACCUUUGUGCCUAUGCUGGAAGCAUAAAUGCUAUUAAGGAAGGGCACAGUGAGGCAUGAAUAAAAAUUAGUUUGCUGCAUGAGUUCAUUACUAUGCUGCUGCUGCUAA